rnacentral:rRNA from 1 species
GACGAACGCUGGCGGCGUGCCUAAUACAUGCAAGUCGAGCGAAGUUUUUCUGGUGCUUGCACCGGAAAAACUUAGCGGCGCACGGGUGAGUGACACGUAAAGAACCUGCCUCAUAGACUGGGACAACUAUUGGAAACGAUAGCUAAUACCGGAUAACAGCAUUAACUGCAUGGUUGAUGUUUAAAAGUUGGUUUUGCUAACACUAUGAGAUGGCUUUGCGGUGCAUUAGCUAGUUGGUGGGGUAAAGGCCUACCAAGGCGACGAUGCAUAGCCGACCUGAGAGGGUGAUCGGCCACACUGGGACUGAGACACGGCCCAGACUCCUACGGGAGGCAGCAGUAGGGAAUCUUCCGCAAUGGGCGAAAGCCUGACGGAGCAACGCCGCGUGAGUGAAGAAGGAUUUCGGUUCGUAAAGCUCUGUUGUUAGGGAAGAAUGAUUGUGUAGUAACGAUACACAGUAGAGACGGUACCUAACCAGAAAGCCACGGCUAACUACGUG